GGGGCUUAGUGUGUCUCCUUGUUUAACCCCUCUAGCAAUAUUAAAAUAUUCUGAUACAUAAUCUUUAUAUUUUAAAGAUGAUUUAGUAUUUAAGUAUUGUUGUUUUAUAAACUCUAUAAAAAGACUUGCCAACUCCCAUUUUACAUAAUUUAUAAAGUAAAGCAGUUCUCCAUACUGAAUCAAAAGCCUUUUUCAGAUCUAUGAAGCAGGCAUAAAUCUUUUUUUUCUCUUUAUGUAAAUAUUUAUUAAUCAAGGACUUUAAUAAAAAGAUGCUAUCAGCUGUUCUGUGAUUUUCUCUGAAAACCAAACUGACAAUCACUUAAUUGUUUGUCAACAAUCUUGAUUAGUCCUAUUAUUUAAUAUGGCAUUAAAAAUUUUUGGUAGAUUACUUAUAA
rnacentral:lncRNA from 1 species